UUUAUGGAGAGUUUGAUCCUGGCUCAGGAUGAACGCUGGCGGCGUGCCUAAUACAUGCAAGUCGAGCGAACAGACGAGAAGCUUGCUUCUCUGAUGUUAGCGGCGGACGGGUGAGUAACACGUGGAUAACCUACCUAUAAGACUGGGAUAACUUCGGGAAACCGGAGCUAAUACCGGAUAAUAUUUUGAACCGCAUGGU
rnacentral:rRNA from 1 species